rnacentral:tRNA from 1 species
ACUGCUUUGGUACAAUAGUAGAAUGCCUGUCAUGUCCACAGGAGAUGUGGGUUCGAUUCCCACAGGCUGCC